rnacentral:rRNA from 1 species
UGAAUACGAGAUGCUAAGGCGUCGAAGUAGUGUAUGUCAUACUUCCAAGAAAAGCUUGCACUGUCAUAAAUAAAAUAUGCCUGUACCAUAACCGACACAGGUGGGUAAGUAGAGUAUACUAAGGGGCGCGAGAUAACUCUCUCUAAGGAACUCGGCAAAAUAACUCCGUAACUUCGGGAGAAGGAGUGCCUUAUUCUUAAGGUUGCAAUAACAAGAUCCAAGCAACUGUUUAUCAAAAACACAGGUCUCCGCUAAGUCGUAAGACGAUGUAUGGGGGCUGACGCCUGCCCAGUGCCAGAAGGUUAAAGAAGUUGGUUAGCAAUUGCGAAGCUGGUAACUGAAGCCCUGGUGAACGGCGGCCGUAACGAUAACGGUCCUAAGGUAGCGAAAUUCCUUGUCGGGUAAGUUCCGACCCGCACGAAAGGCGUAAUGAUUUGGAUGCUGUCUCGGAGAGGGGCUCGGUGAAAUAGACUUGUCUGUGAAGAUGCGGACUACCUGCACCAGGACAGAAAGACCCUAUGAAGCUUUACUGUAACUUGAAAUUGAAAUUGGACUUUAUUUGCGCAGUAUAGGUGGGAGGCGUUGAUUAUAAUCUUGCGGGAUUAUUGGAGCCAUCAGUGAGAUACCACUCUUGUAAUGUUAGAUUUCUAACUUUGAAUCAUUAUCUGGUCAAAGGACAAUUUCAGGCGGGCAGUUUGACUGGGGCGGUCGCCUCCUAAAUGGUAACGGAGGCGUACAAAGGUUUCCUCUGAACGGUUAGAAAUCGUAUCUAGAGUGUAAAGGCAUAAGGAAGCUUGACUGUGAGACCUACAAGUCGAGCAGGGACGAAAGUCGGUCUUAGUGAUCUGACGGUACUGAGUGGAAAGGCCGUCACUCAACGGAUAAAAGUUACUCUAGGAUAACAGGCUGAUCUCCCCCAAGAGUUCACAUCGACGGGGAGGUUUGGCACCUCGAUGUCGGCUCAUCGCAUCCUGGGGCGGUAGUACGUCCCAAGGGUUGGGCUGUUCGCCCAUGAAAGCGGUACGCGAGCUGGGUUCAGAACGUCGUGAGACAGUUCGGUCCAUAUCCGGUGUAGGCGUUAGAAUAUUGAGAGGAGCCUUCUUUAGUACGAGAGGACCGAGAAGGACAUACCUCUGGUGUACCAGUUAUCGUGCCAACGGUAAACGCUGGGUAGCUAUGUAUGGAGUGGAUAACCGCUGAAAGCAUCUAAGUGGGAAGCCCACCUCAAGAUAAG